CGCCAUGGCGGCGUGCUUACCAUGCAGUCGAACGGUAAGGCCCUUCGGGGUACACGAGUGGCGAACGGGUGAGUAACACGUGGGUAAUCUGCCCUGCACUUCGGGAUAAGCCUGGGAAACUGGGUCUAAUACCGGAUAUGAACUCCGGGCCCCAGGGCGGGGGUUGGAAAGUUUUUCGGUGCAGGAUGAGCCCGCGGCCUAUCAGCUUGUUGGUGGGGUAAUGGCCUACCAAGGCGACGACGGGUAGCCGGCCUGAGAGGGUGAUCGGCCACACUGGGACUGAGACACGGCCCAGACUCCUACGGGAGGCAGCAGUGGGGAAUAUUGCACAAUGGGCGAAAGCCUGAUGCAGCGACGCCGCGUGGGGGAUGACGGUCUUCGGAUUGUAAACCCCUUUCAGUAGGGACGAAGCGCAAGUGACGGUACCUGCAGAAGAAGCACCGGCCAACUACGUGCCAGCAGCCGCGGUAAUACGUAGGGUGCGAGCGUUGUCCGGAAUUACUGGGCGUAAAGAGCUCGUAGGCGGUUUGUCACGUCGUCUGUGAAAUCCUCCAGCUUAACUGGGGGCUUGCAGGCGAUACGGGCAGACUUGAGUACUACAGGGGAGACUGGAAUUCCUGGUGUAGCGGUGAAAUGCGCAGAUAUCAGGAGGAACACCGGUGGCGAAGGCGGGUCUCUGGGUAGUAACUGACGCUGAGGAGCGAAAGCAUGGGUAGCGAACAGGAUUAGAUACCCUGGUAGUCCAUGCCGUAAACGGUGGGCGCUAGGUGUGGGGUCCUUCCACGGAUUCCGUGCCGUAGCUAACGCAUUAAGCGCCCCGCCUGGGGAGUACGGCCGCAAGGCUAAAACUCAAAGGAAUUGACGGGGGCCCGCACAAGCGGCGGAGCAUGUGGAUUAAUUCGAUGCAACGCGAAGAACCUUACCUAGGCUUGACAUAUACAGGACGACGGCAGAGAUGUCGUUUCCCUUGUGGCUUGUAUACAGGUGGUGCAUGGUUGUCGUCAGCUCGUGUCGUGAGAUGUUGGGUUAGUUCCGGAACGAGCGCAACCACUGUCCCAUGUGGCCACCACGUUAUGGGUGGGUACUCGUGGAGAGACUUGCGGGAUCACUCGGAGACGGUGGGAGGACGUCAGAGUAUAUGGCCCAUUAUUCUAGGGCUUCUCGACUUGCCUACGAUUGCUAG
rnacentral:rRNA from 1 species